GAACUGCGAUAAGUAAUGUGAAUUGCAGAAUUCAGUGAAUCAUCGAGUCUUUGAACGCACAUUGCGCCCCCUGGCAUUCCGGGGGGCAUGCCUGUCCGAGCGUCAUUGCUGCCCUUCAAGCCCGGCUUGUGUGUUGGGUCGUCGUCCCCUCCGGGGGACGGGCCCGAAAGGCAGCGGCGGCACCGCGUCCGGUCCUCGAGCGUAUGGGGCUUUGACACCCGCUCGAUAAGGACCGGCCGGGCGCCAGCCGGCGUCUCCAACCUUUUUUUCUCAGGUUGACCUCGGAUCAGGUAGGGAUACCCGCUGAACUUAAGC
rnacentral:misc_RNA from 1 species